rnacentral:rRNA from 1 species
GAAGGUGGCUAGCGUUGUUCGGUGUCACUGGGCUUAAAGCGUGUGUAGGCGGGAAAUGUAAGCGUCUUGUGAAAUCCCUCGGGCUUAACCGAGGAAUUGCUAGGCGAACUAUGUUUCUUGAGGCAAGUAGGGGUGCAUGGAACUCUUGGUGGAGCGGUGGAAUGCGUAGAUAUCAAGAGGAACGCCAAUGGAGAAAUCAGUGCACUGGGCUUGUCCUGACGCUGAGACACGAAAGCGUGGGGAGCGAACGGGAUUAGAUACCCCGGUAGUCCACGCUGUAAACGAUGUCUACUAGGUUGUGGCCGUUCUGACACGGUCGCGGCCGAAGCAAAAGUGUUAAGUAGACCGCCUGGGGAGUACGGUCGCAAGGCUA